rnacentral:rRNA from 1 species
UGGGGAAUAUUGCACAAUGGGCGCAAGCCUGAUGCAGCCAUGCCGCGUGUAUGAAGAAGGCCUUCGGGUUGUAAAGUACUUUCAGCGGGGAGGAAGGGAGUAAAGUUAAUACCUUUGCUCAUUGACGUUACCCGCAGAAGAAGCACCGGCUAACUCCGUGCCAGCAGCCGCGGUAAUACGGAGGGUGCAAGCGUUAAUCGGAAUUACUGGGCGUAAAGCGCACGCAGGCGGUUUGUUAAGUCAGAUGUGAAAUCCCCGGGCUCAACCUGGGAACUGCAUCUGAUACUGGCAAGCUUGAGUCUCGUAGAGGGGGGUAGAAUUCCAGGUGUAGCGGUGAAAUGCGGAGAGAUCUGGAGGAAUACCGGUGGCGAAGGCGGCCCCCUGGACGAAGACUGACGCUCAGGUGCGAAAGCGUGGGGAGCAAACAGG